rnacentral:rRNA from 1 species
UACAGAGGUCCCAAGCGUUGUUCGGAUUUACUGGGCGUAAAGGGCGCGUAGGCGGCAUGACAAGUCACUUGUGAAAUCUCCGGGCUUAACUCGGAACGGCCAAGUGAUACUGUCGCGCUAGAGUGCGGAAGGGGCAAUCAGAAUUCUUGGUGUAGCGGUGAAAUGCGUAGAUAUCAAGAGGAAUACCUGAGGUGAAGACGGGUUGCUAGGCCGACACUGACGCUGAGUGCGCGAAAGCCAGGGGAGCAAACGGG